rnacentral:rRNA from 1 species
GACGGAGGGCGCGAGCGUUGUUCGGAAUUACUGGGCGUAAAGCGCGCGCAGGUGGGUGCGUAAGUCGGAGGUGAAAGCGCAGGGCUCAACCCUGCGACGCCCUUCGAGACUGCGUGUCUAGGGACCGGUAGAGGUGAGUGGAAUUCCCGGUGUAGCGGUGGAAUGCGUAGAUAUCGGGAAGAACACCGGAGGCGAAGGCGGCUCACUGGGCCGGAUCCGACACUGAGGCGCGAAAGCGUGGGGAGCAAACAGGAUUAGAAACCCUCGUAGUCC